rnacentral:rRNA from 1 species
GACGAACGCUGGCGGCGUGCUUAACACAUGCAAGUCGAACGGACAGGCCCUGCUUUUGUGGGGUGCUCGAGUGGCGAACGGGUGAGUAACACGUGAGUAACCUGCCCUUGACUUUGGGAUAACUUCAGGAAACUGGGGCUAAUACCGGAUAGGAGCUCCUGCUGCAUGGUGGGGGUUGGAAAGUUUCGGCGGUUGGGGAUGGACUCGCGGCUUAUCAGCUUGUUGGUGGGGUAGUGGCUGACCAAGGCUUUGACGGGUAGCCGGCCUGAGAGGGUGAACGGCCACAUUGGGACUGAGAGACGGCCCAGACGCCUACGGGAGGCAGCAGUGGGGAAUAUUGCACAAUGGGCGGAAGCCUGAUGCAGCAACGCCGCGUGCGGGAUGACGGCCUUCGGGUUGUAAACCGCUUUCGCCGGUGACGAAGCGGGAGUGACGGUAAUGGGUAAAGAAGCACCGGCUAACUACGUG